UACAGAGGUCUCAAGCGUUGUUCGGAUUCAUUGGGCGUAAAGGGUGCGUAGGCGGCGCGGUAAGUCGGGUGUGAAAUCUUGGAGCUUAACUCCGAAACUGCAUUCGAUACUGCCGUGCUUGAGGACUGGAGAGGAGACUGGAAUUUACGGUGUAGCGGUGAAAUGCGUAGAUAUCGAGAGGAACACCAGUGGCGAAGGCGGGUCUCUAGCCAGUUCCUGACGCUGAGGCACGAAAGCCAGGGUAGCAAACGGG
rnacentral:rRNA from 1 species